AACGAACGCUGGCGGCGUGUUUAAGACAUGCAAGUCGCACGGGAUAAGACAUGUAGUAAUACUUGUUUUAUUUAGUGGCGCACGGGUGAGUAACACGUGAAUUACAUGCCCUAUAGUGGGGAAUAGCCCAGGGAAACUUGGAUUAAUACCCCAUGGUAUCGAAAGAUUAAAGGUGGCCGCAAGGCUGUCGCUAUAGGAUUGGUUCGCGCCCUAUCAGCUUGUUGGUGAGGUAACGGCUCACCAAGGCAAUGACGGGUACCUGGUCUGAGAGGACGAUCAGGCACACUGGAACUGAGGCACGGUCCAGACACCUACGGGUGGCAGCAGUCGAGAAUAAUUCACAAUGGGGGCAACCCUGAUGGUGCAACGCCGCGUGGAGGAUGACGGUCUUCGGAUUGUAAACUCCUGUCAUCUGGGAGAAAGACCUGACGGUAAAUAGCCGGCAGGGUUGAUAGUACCAGAAGAGGAAGGGACGGCUAACUUCGUGCCAGCCGCCGCGGUAA
rnacentral:rRNA from 1 species